GAUGAAGAACGCAGUGAAAUGCGAUACUUGGUGUGAAUUGCAGAAUCCCGUGAACCAUCGAGUUUUUGAACGCAAGUUGCGCCCGAAGCCAUUAGGCCGAGGGCACGCCUGCCUGGGCGUCACACGUCGUUGCCCCCCCAUCUACUCCUUCGGGAUUGCGGGGGGCGGAUGAUGGCCUCCCGUGCGCCUCGUCGCGCGGUUGGCAUAAAUGCCAAGUCCUCGGCGACGCACGCCACGACAAUCGGUGGUUGCGAAACCUCGGUUGCCCGUCGUGUGCGGUCGUCGCGCAUCGAGGGCUCGAAAAAAUUGCCGGGCUCCGGCUCGGCUUUCAACGCGACCCCAGGUCAGGCGGGGUUACCCGCUGAAUUUAAGCAUAUCAAUAAGCGGAGGA
rnacentral:misc_RNA from 1 species